rnacentral:rRNA from 1 species
AAAAAGAACCUGAAACCGUGUACGUACAAGCAGUGGGAGCCCCACCACUAAGCCAGUGGUGGACUCCACAUACGCAUCCUUUGCUGAGGAUACGGUUAACGGAGCGCAAGCGACGUUCAACCGCAAAAGAAGCAGAGGGGGCUUAGUGGUGGGGUGACUGCGUACCUUUUGUAUAAUGGGUCAGCGACUUAUAUUCUGUAGCAAGGUUAACCGUAUAGGGGAGCCGUAGGGAAACCGAGUCUUAAUUGGGCGUUAAGUUGCAGGGUAUAGACCCGAAACCCGGUGAUCUAGCCAUGGGCAGGUUGAAGGUUGGGUAACACUAACUGGAGGACCGAACCGACUAAUGUUGAAAAAUUAGCGGAUGACCUGUGGCUGGGGGUGAAAGGCCAAUCAAACCGGGAGAUAGCUGGUUCUCCCCGAAAGCUAUUUAGGUAGCGCCUCGUGAAUUCAUCUCCGGGGGUAGAGCACUGUUUCGGCUAGGGGGCCAUCCCGGCUUACCAACCCGAUGCAAACUGCGAAUACCGGAGAAUGUUAUCACGGGAGACACACGGCGGGUGCUAACGUCCGUCGUGAAGAGGGAAACAACCCAGACCGCCAGCUAAGGUCCCAAAGUCAUGGUUAAGUGGGAAACGAUGUGGGAAGGCCCAGACAGCCAGGAUGUUGGCUUAGAAGCAGCCAUCAUUUAAAGAAAGCGUAAUAGCUCACUGGUCGAGUCGGCCUGCGCGGAAGAUGUAACGGGGCUAAACCAU